UACGUAGGUGGCAAGCGUUGUCCGGAUUUACUGGGCGUAAAGAGCGCGCAGGCGGCUGGCCAAGUCCGAUGUGAAAUCUCCCGGCUUAACUGGGAAACUGCAUCGGAAACUGACCGGCUUGAAGGUGGGAGAGGGUAGUGGAAUUCCCGGUGUAGUGGUGAAAUGCGUAGAUAUCGGGGGGAACACCAGUGGCGAAGGCGACUACCUGGCCCAUUCUUGACGCUGAGGCGCGAAAGCUAGGGGAGCGAACGGG
rnacentral:rRNA from 1 species